CCUGGAGAGCAACAGCAGAGUCUUCACAGUACAGGUGCAGGGGCUGCUGCAGCUGCAGGCUGGACAGUACGCUUCUGUGUUUGUGGACAAUGGCUCCGGGGCCGUCCUCACCAUCCAGGCGGGCUCCAGCUUCUCCGGGCUGCUCCUGGGCACGUGAGGGCGCUGAGGGGGGCUGGCGAGGAGCUGCCGCCGGAUCCCGGGGACCCUCCCACUGAUGCCCGUGGUCACCACAAUAAAGAGCCCUCCACCCUCCCCAC
rnacentral:lncRNA from 1 species